rnacentral:rRNA from 1 species
AUUGCACAAUGGGCGCAAGCCUGAUGCAGCGACGCCGCGUGCGGGAUGACGGCCUUCGGGUUGUAAACCGCUUUUGACUGGGAGCAAGCCCUUCGGGGUGAGUGUACCUUUCGAAUAAGCACCGGCUAACUACGUGCCAGCAGCCGCGGUAAUACGUAGGGUGCAAGCGUUAUCCGGAAUUAUUGGGCGUAAAGGGCUCGUAGGCGGUUCGUCGCGUCCGGUGUGAAAGUCCAUCGCUUAACGGUGGAUCCGCGCCGGGUACGGGCGGGCUUGAGUGCGGUAGGGGAGACUGGAAUUCCCGGUGUAACGGUGGAAUGUGUAGAUAUCGGGAAGAACACCAAUGGCGAAGGCAGGUCUCUGGGCCGUCACUGACGCUGAGGAGCGAAAGCGUGGGGAGCGAACAGGAUUAGAUACCCUGGUAGUCCACGCCGUAAACGGUGGAUGCUGGAUGUGGGGACCAUUCCACGGUCUCCGUGUCGGAGCCAACGCGUUAAGCAUCCCGCCUGGGGAGUACGGCCGCAAGGCUAAAACUCAAAGAAAUUGACGGGGGCCCGCACAAGCGGCGGAGCAUGCGGAUUAAUUCGAUGCAACGCGAAGAACCUUACCUGGGCUUGACAUGUUCCCGACAGCCGUAGAGAUACGGUCUCCCUUCGGGGCGGGUUCACAGGUGGUGCAUGGUCGUCGUCAGCUCGUGUCGUGAGAUGUUGGGUUAAGUCCCGCAACGAGCGCAACCCUCGCCCUGUGUUGCCAGCACGUCGUGGUGGGAACUCACGGGGGACCGCCGGGGUCAACUCGGAGGAAGGUGGGGAUGACGUCAGAUCAUCAUGCCCCUUACGUCCAGGGCUUCACGCAUGCUACAAUGGCCGGUACAACGGGAUGCGACACCGCGAGGUGGAGCGGAUCCCUUAAAA